AGAGUUUGAUCAUGGCUCAGAGCGAACGCUGGCGGCAGGCCUAGCACAUGCAAGUCGAACGGAUCCUUCGGGAUUAGUGGCGACGGGUGAGUAACACGUGGGAACGUGCCUUUUGGUUCGGAACAACUCAGGGAAACUUGAGCUAAUACCGAAUGUGCCCUUCGGGGAAAGAUUUAUCGCCAUUAGAGCGGCCCGCGUCUGAUUAGCUAGUUGGUGAGGUAAAAGGCUCACCAAGGCUACGAUCAGUAGCUGGUCUGAGAGGAUGAUCAGCCACAUUGGGACUGAGACACGGCCCAAACUCCUACGGGAGGCAGCAGUGGGGAAUCUUGCGCAAUGGGCGAAAGCCUGACGCAGCCAUGCCGCGUGAAUGAUGAAGGUCUUAGGAUUGUAAAAUUCUUUCACCGGGGACGAUAAUGACGGUACCCGGAGAAGAAGCCCCGGCUAACUUCGUG
rnacentral:rRNA from 1 species